GGUUAUGAGGGCUAUCUGGCUGCAACAUGUCACCCCACUGAUCACCAGGGUUGAUUCGGCUGAUCUGGCUGGCUAGGUGGGUGUCCCCUUCCUCCCUCACCGGUCCAUGUGCGUCCCUCUGGAAGCUGCACGCUUGGUACAAAGAUGAUGGCCUUCCCCGAAUAGUCUUUAGUCAAGGAUAUAUGAGUAGCUGAGCUUCCCUGCUAGAACCUCCAAACAAGCUCUCAAGAUCCAAGUUUGGACUAUUACAAACUAAGAUAUUAUGGACAUAGGUGUACAUGUUUUUUUUU
ensembl:misc_RNA 7SK 7SK RNA